rnacentral:rRNA from 1 species
CCUACGGGCGGCAGCAGUGGGGAAUAUUGGACAAUGGGGGAAACCCUGAUCCAGCGACGCCGCGUGAGUGAAGAAGGUUUUCGGUACGUAAAGCUUUAUCUGCAGGAAAGCAAAUGACGGUACCUGACUAAGAAGCCGCGGCGAACUACGUGGCAGCAGCCGCGGUAAUAUGUAGGGGGCAAGCGUUAUCCGGAUUUACUGGGGGUAAAGGGAGCGUAGGCGGGAGCGCAAGUGUGGAGUGAAAUGCCCGGGCCCAACCCCCGAACUGCUCUGGAAACUGUGAAGCGAGAGUGCAGGAGAGGUAAGCGGAAUUCCUGGUGUAGCGGUGAAAUGCAUAGAUAUCAGGAGGAACACCGGCGGCGAAGGCAGCAUACUGGACUGAAACUGACGUUGAGGCACGAAGGCGUGGGGAGCGAACAGGAUUAGAUACCCUAGUAGUC